rnacentral:rRNA from 1 species
UACGUAGGGUGCGAGCGUUGUCCGGAAUUACUGGGCGUAAAGAGCUCGUAGGUGGUUUGUCGCGUUGUUCGUGAAAACCGGGGGCUUAACCCUCGGCGUGCGGGCGAUACGGGCAGACUGGAGUACUGCAGGGGAGACUGGAAUUCCUGGUGUAGCGGUGGAAUGCGCAGAUAUCAGGAGGAACACCGGUGGCGAAGGCGGGUCUCUGGGCAGUAACUGACGCUGAGGAGCGAAAGCGUGGGGAGCGAA